GCCUCAGUAACGGCGAGUGAAGCGGCAGCAGCUCAAAUUUGAAAUCCGGCCCCCUCGGGGCCCGAGUUGUAAUUUGGAGAGGGUGCUUCGGGGCGCGCCGCCGGUCCGAGUGCCUUGGAACAGGCCGCCGUGGAGGGUGAGAGCCCCGUACGCGGCCGGCGGACCGUCCCCGCGCGAAGCCCUUUCGACGAGUCGAGUUGUUUGGGAAUGCAGCUCCAAGCGGGUGGUAAAUUCCAUCUAAAGCUAAAUACAGGCCGGAGACCGAUAGCGCACAAGUAGAGUGAUCGAAAGAUGAAAAGCACCUUGAAAAGGGGGUCAAACAGCACGUGAAAUUGCUGAGAGGGAAGCGCUGGCCCCCAGACCUGCUUCGCGGGCGAUCCCCGGCGGCCUCCGCGCCGCGGGGGCUCCACGCCCGCGUUCAGGCCAGCACGGGUCCGGGCGGCGGGACAAAGCGCCCGGGAAUGUAACUCCCUCCGGGGAGCCUUAUAGCCCAGGCGGUCAUGCCGCCCGCCCGGACCGAGGACCGCGCUGCGGCGAGGGUGCUGGCGUAAUGGGGGUCAGCGACCCGUCUUGAAACA
rnacentral:rRNA from 1 species